rnacentral:rRNA from 1 species
UGGGGAAUUUUGGACAAUGGGCGCAAGCCUGAUCCAGCCAUGCCGCGUGAGUGAAGAAGGCCUUCGGGUUGUAAAGCUCUUUCGGCGGGGACGAAACGGUCCGUGACAACACCACGGACUAAUGACAGUACUCGCAGAAGAAGCACCGGCUAACUACGUGCCAGCAGCCGCGGUAAUACGUAGGGUGCAGGCGUUAAUCGGAAUUACUGGGCGUAAAGCGUGCGCAGGCGGCUCCUUAAGUCAGAUGUGAAAUCCCCGGGCUUAACCUGGGAACUGCGUUUGAAACUGAGGGGCUAGAGUGUGGAAGAGGGGGGUGGAAUUCCAGGUGUAGCAGUGAAAUGCGUAGAGAUCUGGAGGAACACCGAUGGCGAAGGCAGCCCCCUGGGCUAACACUGACGCUCAUGCACGAAAGCGUGGGGAGCAAACAGGAUUAGAUACCCGCGUAGUCCCUGAGCGGGCUGGCAAGGCGCAU